rnacentral:rRNA from 1 species
AGUGAACGCUGGCGGUAGGCCUAACACAUGCAAGUCGAACGGCAGCACAGUAAGAGCUUGCUCUUACGGGUGUCGAGUGGCGGACGCGUGCUUAAUACAUCGGAAUCUACUUUUUCGUUGGGGCUAACGUAGGGUAACUUCCGCUAAUACCGCAUACGACCUACGGGUGAAAGCAGGCGAUCUUCGGACCUUGCGCGAUUGAAUGAGCCGAUGUCGGCUUCGCUAGUUGGCGGGUUAAAGGCCCACCAAGGCGACGAUCCGUAGCUGGUCUGAGAGGAUGAUCAGUCACACGGGAACAGAGAAAGGGUACAGACUCCUACGGGAGGAAGCAGUGGGGAAUAUUGGACAAGGGGGGAAAGCCGGAUACAGCAAUACCGCGUGGGUGAAGAAGGACUUAGGGUUGUAAAGCCAUGUUGUUGGGAAAGAAAAGCAGCAGGUUAAUACCCCGAUGUUAUGACGGUACCCAAAGAAUAAGCACCGGCUAACUUCGUG